UUGCAGUGAUGACUAUCUUAGGACACCUUUGGAUGAAAGAUGAAACUAACGUGUUAAUCUGAGCAGC